UGGGGAAUAUUGGACAAUGGGCGCAAGCCUGAUCCAGCCAUGCCGCGUGAGUGACGAAGGUCUUCGGAUUGUAAAGCUCUUUUUGGCGGGGACGAUAAUGACGGUACCCGCAGAAUAAGCCCCGGCUAACUUCGUGCCAGCAGCCGCGGUAAUACGAAGGGGGCUAGCGUUGUUCGGAAUUACUGGGCGUAAAGCGCACGUAGGCGGGCUGAUAAGUCAGGGGUGAAAUCCCGGGGCUCAACCUCGGAACUGCCUUUGAUACUGUUAGUCUCGAGUCCGGAAGAGGUGAGUGGAAUUCCUAGUGUAGAGGUGAAAUUCGUAGAUAUUAGGAAGAACACCAGUGGCGAAGGCGGCUCACUGGUCCGGUACUGACGCUGAGGUGCGAAAGCGUGGGGAGCAAACAGGAUUAGAUACCCUCGUAGUCCCUGAG
rnacentral:rRNA from 1 species